CUUUCAAUAAUUUUUUUUCAUUAUUAAAUCCAUAAAUAAUUUUAUUGUAAUUCAUUUUUACUUAAAUAUAAACUAUACCUUGAUUUGAUAUUAAUUAAUAUUAUAAUUAUUGAAUAUUAUUAAUUCUAAAAAAAUAUUCUAAUAACAACGGUAUAUAAAUUGAUUUACAAAUUUAAGUUAGGUACAACGGGUAUUAUCGAUUAAAAAACAAAUUCCUCUAAAUANACUAAUAUACCGCCAAAUUUUUUAAGUUUCAANAACAUAUCUAUUACUACUCAAAUUUAAUGAUUUACAUUUUAAAUAAUAGGGUAUCUAAUCC
rnacentral:rRNA from 1 species